UAUUUAGUCCAUUCCGAAGUUGUAGUUUGUUUUGACAUUUCCGUUUUAUUUAACCUAACCUAUGUUUUGUGUUUGUGUUUUGUUGUUUGGUUGUAUACAAGGAGUUGUAUAUUGAAAUUGAAUUGAUUCUUGUUUCAUUGAAUUAUUGAAUAUAGAGGAGUUGUUCUGUUGCAAGUUGUUCUAGUUUUGUUGUUUUAAAAUCUGAGAAAAACUAUUUAUAGAUAAUGGUGAACUUAAACAAGAAAUGGGCAUGCAGUUUGCUGAUUACUUAAUUGUGUACUCACAACACAUAGGAUUUCUCUGACACAGUUUCCAGUACAGAACUGCCACAGGAAUCUCCAGUGGAGUUGCAACCGCUCUCACGGACGUCCACAAAUCAAGUUACAAAACUGUUACAUGACUCUAUUGGAGUUGCAACCGCAAUUGGAUAAAAGUGAAAUUCGAAUAAUGCCAGAAAGACUAUAACCGUCCAAAGUGAUAGUGUGAAAUUAAAAUCAAAUGAUUACGUAUAAAUCAUAUUUAUAAUAAUUAUAAAUAGUAGCUGUAUUUUUUAAAUAAACAGAUUUGAUAAGUUA